rnacentral:rRNA from 1 species
UAAUUAGGGAAGGAAAAGAAACUAACUAGGAUUUUCUUAGUAGCGGCGAGCGAAAAGAAAAUAGUUCAGCACUAAGUUAUUUUGUUUUUAUAACAAAUAUAAAAUGCAGUGUAUGGAAUAUUCAUAAUCUAGUAUGAUAUAUUAACAGUUCAAGUCCUUCUUAAAUGAGGCCAUUUACCCAUAGAGGGUGCCAGGCCCGUAGGUGACGUUAAUGAUUACUAGAGAAUAUUUCUUAAGAGUCGUGUUGCUUGAUAGUGCAGCACUAAUUGGGUGGUAAACUCCAUCUAAAACUAAAUAUUGCCAUGAGACCGAUAGCAAACAAGUACCGUGAGGGAAAGUUGAAAAGAACUCUGAAUAGAGAGUUAAAUAGUACGUGAAACUGCUUAGAGGUUAAGCCCGAUGAACCUAAAUAUCUAAUAUGAAAAAUUCAUCAUUAAUAUUAUAUAGCCUUUUAUUAGGUUAUAUAAAAAUAAUGUGCAAUUUUUUCAUAUAUAGACAUUGUAAUCUGUUAAUAUAUAUAUUAUAAUAAAUUUAUCAUAAGUAUCACGUAUGAUUCAGUUUAUAUAUAAUAUAAUAUUUAUAUUAUAUUUAUAUAUAAAAUUCAUAUUUAAAUGUGAUUACGGAUAAAUUAUUGACAGAUUCAAAAAUUAAAUAUAACGCUUACAUACAUUCGUGUAUGUUAUAAUAAAAUAUAUAUUAUUUAAAAUUAUAUUUUUGUUAUAUGCGUUUAUAUGAUUAACAAUGCUAUAGAUUUAGGAUACCUUCGGGACCCGUCUUGAAACACGGACCAAGGAGUCUAACAUGUGCGCAAGUCAUUGGGUAUCAAUAAAAACCUAAAGGCGUAAAUAACUUAACUUUAUAAAUUUUAUUUUAUGGGAUUAAUUAUAUAUAUUAUAUAUUUAUAUAUUCCAUCCCGGGGCGUUCUAUAUAGUUAUGUAUAUAUAUAAUAUUUACUUUACCGUUUAUAUUAUUUUAUAUACCUCUAACUGGAGCGUACCUUGAGCAUAUAUGUUGUGACCCGAAAGAUGGUGAACUAUACCUGAUCAGGUAGAAGUCAGGGGAAACCCUGAUGGAAGACCGAAACAGUUCUGACGUGCAAAUCGAUUGUCAGAAUUGGGUAUAGCGGCGAAAGACCAAUCGAACCAUCUAGUAGCUGGUUCCCUCCGAAGUUUCCCUCAGGAUAGCUGGUGCAUAUAAAUAUUAUUUAAAAAUAAUCUUAUCUGGUAAAGCGAAUGAUUAGAGGCCUUAGGGCCGAAACGACCUUAACCUAUUCUCAAACUUUAAAUGGGUAAGAACCUAACCUUUCUUGAUAUGAAGGUAUAGGUUAUGAUAUAUUGUGCCCAGUGGGCCAUUUUUGGUAAGCAGAACUGGCGCUGUGGGAUGAACCAAACGUGAUGUUAAGGCGCCAAAAUUAACAACUCAUACCGAUACCAUGAAAGGCGUUGGUUGCUUAAAACAGCAGGACGGUGGGCAUGGAAGUCGUAAUCCGCUAAGGAGUGUGUAACAACUCACCUGCCGAAGCAACUAGCCCUUAAAAUGGAUGGCGCUCAAGUUGUAUGCCUAUACAUCACCGUUAAAGUAUAUGAUUUAUAAAUUAUAUAUAUUUAUAAAUUUUGAAACUUUAAUGAGUAGGAGGGUACAAUGAUGUGCUUAGAAGUGUUUAUCGUAAGAUUGCAUGGAGCCAUUAUUGGUACAGAUCUUGGUGGUAGUAGCAAAUAAUCGAAUGAGACCUUGGAGGACUGAAGUGGAGAAGGGUUUCGUGUGAACAGUGGUUGAUCACGAGUUAGUCGGUCCUAAGUUCAAGGCGAAAGCUGAUAAAUGAUAAGUUUUAUUUUAUGAAAAAAAAAAUAUACACUUAAUUAUUAUUGAACGAAAGGGAAUACGGUUCCAAUUCCGUAACCUGUUGAGUAUACGUUUGUUAUUAAAAAUGGGCUAUUUAAUGCUCAUCCUGGCAACAGAAACAACCAUAAAGAAGCCGUCGAGAAAUAUCGAAAGAGUUUUCUUUUCUGUUUUAUAGUCGUACUACCAUGGAAGUCUUUCGAAGAGAGAUAUGGUAGAUGGACUAGAAGAGCAUGGCAUUUACUGCUGUGUCGAUAUUUUCUCCUCGGACCUUGAAAAUUUAUGGUGGGGUUACGCAAACUUCUUAACAGGCCGUACCGAUAUCCGCAGCUGGUCUCCAAGGUGAAGAGUCUCUAGUCGAUAGAUA